GUAAAAAUCAAACAACAUUUGUUUUGAAAGUUUUUUAAUAUUGCCUACAGAUUGUCAGAUAUCCCAAAAUAUGCCACCACAUGAACUUUCAAUUGGACAAUUCGAGCAAUAAGAUAAAGAAGAAUCUGAAAGAGGAUGACUGUCUACGUUGUGGUAUGUAUCUGUUGCACUCAAAAAGAUUCACACAAGUAGGGAAACUCUUGUUCUUGAGUAUAGCUCCAUGCCGAACUGUGAUGGUUGGUGUCUGUGGUUCAAAUGCUACCACCAAGUAUCCAAAUUGGCCUUAAAUCUGCAUAAUAGUGUUCUUUGCUUUUAACAGUGUUUCUGACAGAGGGUAUCUAUCCAUAUAUCAGAUCAAUCAGUCUCCUAUUCAAAGGGUGAAUGAGCUUAAGUACUUCGGUGUGACGAUUGAUCAAACAUUGAGUUGGCUUCCUCAUAUGGAGCAUCCGAACCAGGAUGAAUCUGGCGGCAGCGAGACUGUCAAAGCUAGCUAGGCUGGAUUACGGUUUACAUGGCUCAGCCAUUCAUGCCAUCUACAAGAGGGCAUUCGAGAGAUGGGCAUGUUAUGGCUGUGGGGCA
rnacentral:lncRNA from 1 species